CCUACGGGAGGCAGCAGUGGGGAAUUUUGGACAAUGGGCGAAAGCCUGAUCCAGCAAUGCCGCGUGAGUGAAGAAGGCCUUCGGGUUGUAAAGCUCUUUUGUCAGGGAAGAAACGGUGAGAGCUAAUAUCUCUUGCUAAUGACGGUACCUGAAGAAUAAGCACCGGCUAACUACGUGCCAGCAGCCGCGGUAAUACGUAGGGUGCAAGCGUUAAUCGGAAUUACUGGGCGUAAAGCGUGCGCAGGCGGUUUUGUAAGUCUGAUGUGAAAUCCCCGGGCUCAACCUGGGAAUUGCAUUGGAGACUGCAAGGCUAGAAUCUGGCAGAGGGGGGUAGAAUUCCACGUGUAGCAGUGAAAUGCGUAGAUAUGUGAGGAACACCGAUGGCGAAGGCAGCCCCCUGGGUCAAGAUUGACGCUCAUGCACGAAAGCGUGGGGAGCAAACAGGAUUAGAUACCCUGGUAGUCCACGACCUAACGAUAUCUACUAGUUGUCGGUCGUA
rnacentral:rRNA from 1 species